CAUGGGUGUCUUGCAGCCAGUCAGACAAGGACCUGGACUGAGAGAGGGAGCAGGACUCGCCACAGCCUCACUAACACUGUGACAAAUGAAUGGGGGCAGAAAUGUCCCCAAGUACCUGAACUUCAGGAUGGACGUCACCAUGGCAUGUCAAGGACAUAGUGAACGAUCUGUCAUGUUGCAGAGAAGUGAUGACCUAUCUGCAUUACGUGGAGCUUUGGACCUCCACGUUGCUGUGAUGAGCAUGAUUGCCUUGCAGUUGGACAAAGACCUGGGCUGAGAGAGGGAGCAGAAUCUCUCUACUGUUGUGAGUUAAGACCAUUGACACGGAGAGGGAGACUGCCCUUUUAAACCUCUGAACACACGAAGGAGGAAAAGCAACAACCUUGAUAAGAAGUGACUUCCAAGGCGACCUUGACAUGCAUUCAUGCUGUCCAGAGUUCCCUGCAGCGCUGCAUUCCCUCAUCGCAGUGAAUUGUUUUGGGAAUUAUCCCUAAAUGCUUUCCUGGAGGUCCAGAACCGGAGCCCUGAACUUCUCAUGCCAGUGGGUCCUUCAACUCAGAAGAGGAAGAGACACCAAGGAUGGCGGAGAGGCCUUUGUUCAAGCCGAGGAAUGGAAAACAUUCCCCUCCUCGUCCACAUACAGGCACUGGACCACAGAACCAGUGAUGCACUCUGCUGUUGUGUGAUGGACUUCAUGUGACGAUGAAGAACCUUGAUGCAAUACCAGGUUCUUUUGAAGAGGAUGGAGUGGUGAUUUAUGAUGAUGACACGCUCAGAUCAGUAAGCGUCCUCUGGAUGUGUAGUCCUUCUUCGAUAACACUACACUAAAAAAAAAAAAAAAAAACAAGACAAGGACGCUGCCUCCUGCAUGAGUAUCAUGGAAUGACUACCUGGACUAGGAGGGCAUGGGUCCCUCUUUUUAAAAAGGCCAGACAUCCACUCUGGUUUCCCAGCAGACUGUUGCAGUAACUGUGUGCACUUAGGACAAGUAGCGUUAAAAAUGGCAGCAAAAACUGGGCAUGCAGGCUUGUUCAGCCCUUUAACGCUUUUUUGCUUAACUCUUAAAAUUUAAAGUUAUGUCACAGGAAUAAAACAUCUGUGAGAUAUUAGAGGCCAGUAAGUUGGUAGCAAAGACAGAAAAAUGCUUCAUUUAAACAUUCUCUCCUGUAGGCCACAUAAAUAAGAAAACUCAAGACAUUUUCCAGUCCACAUGUUCUUUGGUUCACAAAAGGCUCUCAGUCUUUA